rnacentral:lncRNA from 1 species
AUUCAAUCAGUUCAGGCUUCUCUGUUCCCAUCUCUAAGUUAAAACGGACAUUUCCUGACUGGCCAGACACUUGGAGUUCUGAUUUCAUCUCCCUUUAGCAUCUGCCAGGAAAAGAGACAAAAUGCAGAGGUCCAAGAAAGUUCUCUCACAAGAGGACAGCAUCUUGACAGAGAUUCAAUGCUUAGAAGAACUGUACAGAAGAUACAGUAAGUGUGGAGGCUGCUAGAGUCCAAGAGACCAGCUCUAAAGACACACCUCCAUCUGCCUUCAAGAAAACUUUGCCUAAAGGAACUGGAAAUUGAGUGGAUGCCCAUCAGUUGAGGAAUGGCUGAAGAAGUUAUGGUAUGAAGGUAAUGUAAUAUUAUUAUUGUAUAAGAAAUGAUGAGCAGUCUGAUUUAAGAAAAAAAAAAAAAAAGACCUACAUUAAUUGAGCUGAGUGAAGUUAGUAGAACCAGGAGAACAUUGGACAUAGUAACAACAAGAUUAUGUGAAGCUUAACUGUGAUGGACUUGACUUAACAAUGUGGUGGUUCAAGGCAAUUCCAAUCGACUUGAGAUUGAAAAUGUCAAUCACAUCCAGAGAGCUAUGGAACUGAAUAUGGAUUGAAACCUACUAUUUUCACCUUUUUGUUGGUCAAUUGGUUGGCUUUUCUUUCUUGUGGGUUUUUUCCCCUUUUGAUCUGAUUUUUCUUGCACAAAUUGACAAAUAUGAAAAAAUAUUUAAAAGGAUAGCAUAUCUUUAAGCUAUAUCAGAUUACUUGCUGUCUUGGGGAGGGGAGAGAUGAGGGAGGGAAGAAGGGAGAAAAAAUCUGGCACACAAAGUUUUACAAAAAUGAAUGUUGAAAACUAUCAUUAAAUGUAUUUGGAAAAAUAAAAUACUAUUGAGGAAAAAAUCUUUGCCU